rnacentral:rRNA from 1 species
UGAGGAAUAUUGGUCAAUGGACGAGAGUCUGAACCAGCCAAGUAGCGUGAAGGAUGACUGCCCUAUGGGUUGUAAACUUCUUUUAUAUGGGAAUAAAGUUCAGUAUGUAUACUGUUUUGUAUGUACCAUAUGAAUAAGGAUCGGCUAACUCCGUGCCAGCAGCCGCGGUAAUACGGAGGAUCCGAGCGUUAUCCGGAUUUAUUGGGUUUAAAGGGAGCGUAGGCGGAAGCUUAAGUCAGUUGUGAAAGUUUGCGGCUUAACCGUAAAAUUGCAGUUGAUACUGGGUUUCUUGAGUGCAGCAGAGGUAGGCGGAAUUCGUGGUGUAGCGGUGAAAUGCUUAGAUAUCACGAAGAACUCCGAUUGCGAAGGCAGCUUACUGGACUGUAACUGACGCUGAUGCUCGAAAGUGUGGGGUAUCAAACAGGAUUAGAUACC